rnacentral:rRNA from 1 species
ACGGCCCAGACUCUACGGGAGGCAGCAGUAGGGAAUCUUCCGCAAUGGACGAAAGUCUGACGGAGCAACGCCGCGUGAGUGAUGAAGGUUUCGGAUCGUAAAGCUCUGUUGUUAGGGAAGAACAAGUACCGUUCGAAUAGGGCGGUACCUUGACGGUACCUAACCAGAAAGCCACGGCUAACUACGUGCCAGCAGCCGCGGUAAUACGUAGGUGGCAAGCGUUGUCCGGAAUUAUUGGGCGUAAAGGGCUCGCAGGCGGUUUCUUAAGUCUGAUGUGAAAGCCCCCGGCUCAACCGGGGAGGGUCAUUGGAAACUGGGGAACUUGAGUGCAGAAGAGGAGAGUGGAAUUCCACGUGUAGCGGUGAAAUGCGUAGAGAUGUGGAGGAACACCAGUGGCGAAGGCGACUCUCUGGUCUGU